UGUAGCCUUCCUGGACUCUCACACAUCGGCCAUUUUCACAUCCGUUCAGAAUACCACACUCCUCUGCUUGUAACUCCUCAAAGCUGUUCAGAAAACCUGAGCGAAGAAAGAAUUACCAACAAGCCUUAACAGGAAGGUGGGCCAGAUCCAUCAACAUCCUGGACAUUCCUGAAGGACAUCUGAGAUGUUGUACACGAUCCCUCACAUCCUGCCUGCAGCCAUUCCUGAAGGUUGUAUGCAUGCAUACUCUCUGAUCAUCCUUUCUGUAGUUUCACUGCAGAGAGAGAACAGCUUGCGCGCUCUCCGUUUCUUCCAUCUGAAUUGUGCUGGAAAAUCAUGAAGUACUGGCAUGGAGAAAUCUCUCCCAAAAAAAUCAUGGUGAUAUUCUACAGAAUAUGGAAUCUAAUGUGAAAGCCUUCUCUGACAGCAAAGCAUACUGAAGUUAGCAAAAAUACAGUGCUUCAAAAAUUUACACGUGGAUGGACAGCUUCAUCUUACCAGU